rnacentral:rRNA from 1 species
AACGAACGCUGGCGGCAGGCUUAACACAUGCAAGUCGAGCGCCCCGCAAGGGGAGCGGCAGACGGGUGAGUAACGCGUGGGAAUCUACCCAUCUCUACGGAAUAACGCAUGGAAACGGGAGCUAAUACCGUAUACGUCCUUCGGGAGAAAGAUUUAUAGGAGAUGGAUGAGCCCGCGUUGGAUUUGCUAGUUGGUGGGGUAAAGGCCUACCAAGGCGACGAUCAAUAGCUGGUCUGAGAGGAUGAUCAGCCACACUGGGACUGAGACACGGCCCAGAAUCCUACGGGAGGCAGCAGUGGGGAAUAUUGGACAAUGGGCGCAAGCCUGAUCCAGCCAUGCCGCGUGAGUGAUGAAGGCCCUAGGGUUGUAAAGCCCUUUCACCGGUGAAGAUAAUGACGGUAACCGGAGAAGAAGCCCCGGCUAACUUCGUGCCAGCAGCCGCAGUAAAAC